UACGUAGGGUGCGAGCGUUAAUCGGAAUUACUGGGCGUAAAGCGUGCGCAGGCGGUUUUGCAAGUCGGAUGUGAAAUCCCCGGGCUCAACCUGGGAAUGGCAUUUGGGACUGCAAGGCUCGAGUGCGGCAGAGGAGACUGGAAUUCCUGGUGUAGCAGUGAAAUGCGUAGAUAUCAGGAGGAAUACCGAUGGCGAAGGCAGGUCUCUGGGCUGACACUGACGCUCAUGCACGAAAGCGUGGGGAGCAAACAGG
rnacentral:rRNA from 1 species